rnacentral:rRNA from 1 species
AUUGAACGCUGGCGGCAGGCUUAACACAUGCAAGUCGAGCGGAGAUGAGGUGCUUGCACCUUAUCUUAGCGGCGGACGGGUGAGUAAUGCUUAGGAAUCUGCCUAUUAGUGGGGGACAACAUUCCGAAAGGGAUGCUAAUACCGCAUACGUCCUACGGGAGAAAGCAGGGGAUCUUCGGACCUUGCGCUAAUAGAUGAGCCUAAGUCGGAUUAGCUCGUUGGUGGGGUAAAGGCCUACCAAGGCGACGAUCUGUAGCGGGUCUGAGGGGAUGGUCCGCCACACUGGGACGGAGACACGGCCCAGACUCCUACGGGAGGCAGCAGUGGGGAAUAUUGGACAAUGGGGGGAACCCUGAUCCAGCCAUGCCGCGUGUGUGAAGAAGGCCUUAUGGUUGUAAAGCACUUUAAGCGAGGAGGAGGCUACUGAGACUAAUACUCUUGGAUAGUGGACGUUACUCGCAGAAUAAGCACCGGCUAACUCUGUGCCAGCAGCCGCGGUAACAC